GAGGAAUAUUGCGCAAUGGGGGGCAACCCUGACGCAGCGACGCCGCGUGGAUGAUGAAGGCCUUCGGGUCGUAAAAUCCUGUCAGAUGGAAAGAAGUGUAUAUGUGUUAAUAGCGCAUAUAUUUGACGGUACC
rnacentral:rRNA from 1 species